rnacentral:rRNA from 1 species
CAGCCGCCGCGGUAAUACGAAGGGAGCUAGCGUUGUUCGGAAUUACUGGGCGUAAAGGGAGCGUAGGCGGGUCGUUUAGUCAGAGGUGAAAUCCCGGGGCUCAACCUCGGAACUGCCUUUGAUACUGGCGACCUUGAGUAUGGGAGAGGUAAGUGGAACUCCGAGUGUAGAGGUGAAAUUCGUAGAUAUUCGGAAGAACACCAGUGGCGAAGGCGACACACUGGCCCAUUACUGACGCUGAGGCUCGAAAGCGUGGGGAGCAAACAGGAUUAGAUACCCCCGUAGUCCCUGUCUCUUAUAC